rnacentral:rRNA from 1 species
AAUGAACGUUGACAGCGUGGAUUAGGCAUGCAAGUCGAGCGACAAGGGGCUUCGGCCCUGGAGGAGCGGCAAACGGGGUAGUAAGGCAUUGGAACGUACCCUCUGGUCCGGGAUAGCCUCGGGAAACUGAGAGUAAUACCGGAUGAACUCUACGGAGCAAAGGUCCGCCGCCGGGGGAGCGGCCAAUGUGAUAUCAGCUAGUUGGUAGGGUAACGGCCUACCAAGGCUUGGACGUCUAGGGGGUGUGAGAGCACGACCCCCACCACUGGGACGUGAGACACUGCCCAGACACCUACGGGUGGCUGCAGUCGAGGAUCUUCGGCAAUGGGCGCAAGCCUGACCGAGCGACGCUGCGUGCGGGAUGAAGGCCUUUGGGUUUGUAAACCGCUGUCAGAGGGGAUGAAAGCGAAAGCUUGACAGAGCCUCAGAGGAAGCGCGGGCUAAGUUCGGUGCCAGCAGCCGCGGUAAU